AUCUGCAGAAUUCUCAGGAGGGAAGAGAAGGAGUUGAGCCAUAACCUCCUAACCUCUGCGGCACACCCUCGGCCAGCAACCUCAUUCUCCUUCUGGCAUUUGGAGGGCUCUGUGGAUCCCUUGCCCUCAGAAAUGCUAUCAACAUAAUGAAAGUUGAGAUGAAAAUUAAUCAUUUGCUGAGCUUCCUCCUGCAUCUGUUUUAAAACCUUCUGAGGGUGAGAGGAAUCUGUAGAACUUUGGAAGGCUGUGCUGGGAUUCCCACUGACUGUACUGGGACAUCUGAGGUGAUCCAUUCGAAGCAGUUAUUAGGAAGAAAUGAGAUGACACUGUUUCUCAGCAUUUGAGAUCAAGAACCUCAGAUUGGAACAGGGCCAGCACUUUAGUAGCUGAAAGCAGUCUGUGCAUUCAUUUGAAAUGAAGGAUGGGAAGUUCCCUGAAAAGGUUUAAAGUCUUAAUUCAAUUGAUAUUGGCACAAUAAACUCUAGGACACAUCCAAAUCCAUUACGAAGACUCCUCAUGCCAGCAGAUUUGCAAAACUAGAUGUGGAAUUGCAUCAAGUUCUUUCUGCUCUACGUUUUAAGAGACACACUCAAGAGUUUCAUGCAGACCUGUCAUCACAUUCUGGCUCUCUCAUUUUCCUGGAAAGUUGGGCAAGCUACUUCAAAUUUUGGAGUCUCAUUUUCCUCAUCUGUGGAAUGAAUGUCAUAAUACAUAUUCACUGACUUAACAUGAGGACGGCAUGUGUUAAUAAUAAACCUAAUCUUGUGACCA
rnacentral:lncRNA from 1 species